GACGAAUGCUGGCGGCGUGCCUAAUACAUGCAAGUUGAGCGAUGAAGAUUGGUGCUUGCACCAAUUUGAAGAGCAGCGAACGGGUGAGUAACGCGUGGGGAAUCUGCCUUUGAGCGGGGGACAACAUUUGGAAACGAAUGCUAAUACCGCAUAACAACUUUAAACAUAAGUUUUAAGUUUGAAAGAUGCAAUUGCAUCACUCAAAGAUGAUCCCGCGUUGUAUUAGCUAGUUGGUGAGGUAAAGGCUCACCAAGGCGAUGAUACAUAGCCGACCUUAGAGGGGGAUCGGCCACCUUGGGACUGAGACACGGCCCAAACUCCUACGGGAGGCAGCAGUAGGGAAUGUUCGGCAAUGGACGAAAGUCUGACCGAGCAACGCCGCGUGAGUGAAGAAGGUUUUCGGAUCGUAAAACUCUGUUGGUAGAGAAGAACGUUGGUGAGAGUGGAAAGCUCAUCAAGUGACGGUAACUACCCAGAAAGGGACGGCUAACUACGUGCCAGCCGCCGCCGUAA
rnacentral:rRNA from 1 species